CUGGCGGCAGGCCUAACACAUGCAAGUCGAGCGGUAGAGAGAGGCUUGCUUCUCUUGAGAGCGGCGGACGGGUGAGUAAUGCCUAGGAAUCUGCCUGGUAGUGGGGGAUAACGUUCGGAAACGGACGCUAAUACCGCAUACGUCCUACGGGAGAAAGCAGGGGACCUUCGGGCCUUGCGCUAUCAGAUGAGCCUAGGUCGGAUUAGCUAGUUGGUGAGGUAAUGGCUCACCAAGGCGACGAUCCGUAACUGGUCUGAGAGGAUGAUCAGUCACACUGGAACUGAGACACGGUCCAGACUCCUACGGGAGGCAGCAGUGGGGAAUACUGGACAAUGGGCGAAAGCCUGAUCCAGCCAUGCCGCGUGUGUGAAGAAGGUCUUCGGAUUGUAAAGCACUUUAAGUUGGGAGGAAGGGCAGUUACCUAAUACGUGAUUGUUUUGACGUUACCGACAGAAUAAGCACCGGCUAACUCUGUGCCAGCAGCCGCGGUAAUACAGAGGGUGCAAGCGUUAAUCGGAAUUACUGGGCGUAAAGCGCGCGUAGGUGGUUUGUUAAGUUGGAUGUGAAAUCCCCGGGCUCAACCUGGGAACUGCAUUCAAAACUGACUGACUAGAGUAUGGGUAGAGGGUGGUGGAAUUUCCUGUGUAGCGGUGAAAUGCGUAGAUAUAGGAAGGAACACCAGUGGCGAAGGCGACCACCUGGACUGAUACUGACACUGAGGUGCGAAAGCGUGGGGAGCAAAC
rnacentral:rRNA from 1 species